UGGGGAAUAUUGCACAAUGGGCGCAAGCCUGAUGCAGCCAUGCCGCGUGUAUGAAGAAGGCCUUCGGGUUGUAAAGUACUUUCAGCGAGGAGUAAGGCGUUGUGGUUAAUAACCGCAACGAUUGACGUUACUCGCAGAAGAAGCACCGGCUAACUCCGUGCCAGCAGCCGCGGUAAUACGGAGGGUGCAAGCGUUAAUCGGAAUUACUGGGCGUAAAGCGCACGCAGGCGGUCUGUCAAGUCGGAUGUGAAAUCCCCGGGCUCAACCUGGGAACUGCAUCCGAAACUGGCAGGCUAGAGUCUUGUAGAGGGGGGUAGAAUUCCAGGUGUAGCGGUGAAAUGCGUAGAGAUCUGGAGGAAUACCGGUGGCGAAGGCGGCCCCCUGGACAAAGACUGACGCUCAGGUGCGAAAGCGUGGGGAGCAAACA
rnacentral:rRNA from 1 species